rnacentral:miRNA from 2 species
CUUGGCACUGUCAGAUAGCACUGA